rnacentral:rRNA from 1 species
AGAGUUUGAUCCUGGCUCAGGAUGAACGCUAGCUACAGGCUUAACACAUGCAAGUCGAGGGGAAACGACAUCGAAAGCUUGCUUUUGAUGGGCGUCGACCGGCGCACGGGUGAGUAACGCGUAUCCAACCUGCCCACCACUUGGGGAUAACCUUGCGAAAGUAAGACUAAUACCCAAUGAUAUCUCUAGAAGACAUCUGAAAGAGAUUAAAGAUUUAUCGGUGAUGGAUGGGGAUGCGUCUGAUUAGCUUGUUGGCGGGGUAACGGCCCACCAAGGCAACGAUCAGUAGGGGUUCUGAGAGGAAGGUCCCCCACAUUGGAACUGAGACACGGUCCAAACUCCUACGGGAGGCAGCAGUGAGGAAUAUUGGUCAAUGGACGAGAGUCUGAACCAGCCAAGUAGCGUGCAGGAUGACGGCCCUAUGGGUUGUAAACUGCUUUUAUAAGGGAAUAAAGUGAGUCUCGUGAGACUUUUUGCAUGUACCUUAUGAAUAAGGACCGGCUAAUUCCGUGCCAGCAGCCGCGGUAAUACGGAAGGUCCGGGCGUUAUCCGGAUUUAUUGGGUUUAAAGGGAGCGUAGGCCGGAGAUUAAGCGUGUUGUGAAAUGUAGACGCUCAACGUCUGCACUGCAGCGCGAACUGGUUUCCUUGAGUACGCACAAAGUGGGCGGAAUUCGUGGUGUAGCGGUGAAAUGCUUAGAUAUCACGAAGAACUCCGAUUGCGAAGGCAGCUCACUGGAGCGCAACUGACGCUGAAGCUCGAAAGUGCGGGUAUCGAACAGGAUUAGAUACCCUGGUAGUCCGCACGGUAAACGAUGGAUGCCCGCUGUUGGUCUGAAUAGGUCAGCGGCCAAGCGAAAGCAUUAAGCAUCCCACCUGGGGAGUACGCCGGCAACGGUGAAACUCAAAGGACAUUGACGGAAGGGCGAAUCGC